GACGAACGCUGGCGGCGUGCUUAACACAUGCAAGUCGAACGGAAAGGCCCUGCUUUUGUGGGGUGCUCGAGUGGCGAACGGGUGAGUAACACGUGAGUAACCUGCCCUUGACUUUGGGAUAACUUCAGGAAACUGGGGCUAAUACCGGAUAGGAGCUCCUGCUGCAUGGUGGGGGUUGGAAAGUUUCGGCGGUUGGGGAUGGACUCGCGGCUUAUCAGCUUGUUGGUGGGGUAGUGGCUUACCAAGGCUUUGACGGGUAGCCGGCCUGAGAGGGUGACCGGCCACAUUGGGACUGAGAUACGGCCCAGACUCCUACGGGAGGCAGCAGUGGGGAAUAUUGCACAAUGGGCGGAAGCCUGAGGCGGCAACGCCGCGUGCGGGAUGACGGCCUUCGGGUUGUAAACCGCUUUCGCCUGUGACGAAGCGGGAGUGACGGUAAUGGGUAAAGAAGCACCGGCUAACUACGUG
rnacentral:rRNA from 1 species